GAUUCAAACCAUAAUUAAAAUGU
rnacentral:snRNA from 1 species